rnacentral:rRNA from 1 species
AUUGAACGCUGGCGGCAUGCCUUACACAUGCAAGUCGAACGGCAGCGGACCUUCGGGUGCCGGCGAGUGGCGAACGGGUGAGUAAUAUAUCGGAACGUACCUUUCAGUGGGGGAUAACGUAGCGAAAGUUACGCUAAUACCGCAUAUUCUGUGAGCAGGAAAGCAGGGGAUCGCAAGACCUUGCGCUGAUUGACGCGGCCGAUAUCAGAUUAGCUAGUUGGUGAGGUAAAGGCUCACCAAGGCGACGAUCUGUAGCGGGUCUGAGAGGAUGAUCCGCCACACUGGAACUGAGACACGGUCCAGACUCCUACGGGAGGCAGCAGUGGGGAAUUUUGGACAAUGGGCGCAAGCCUGAUCCAGCCAUGCCGCGUGAGUGAGAAGG